GCGCGUAGCUCAGUUGGUUAGAGCACCACCUUGACAUGGUGGGGGUCGGUGAUUCGAAUU
rnacentral:tRNA from 1 species